CCAUUACACCAUUUCCCCCCAUGGAAGACUUUAAGGAAGAAGUUCUACAUCCAGGUACCCAAGCAAAAGAAAAUGAAUACAUAUAUAACAACAUAAGAUUAUGCUAUCUUCAUUUCAGUUCAAUUUAUCACUUGCCCAGUAACCGAUAGACUGGGAAUGCCGCUCCAACAUUAAAUAUUGCUGGAUCACAAACGUCGCUUGGAGAACCAUCCACAUCAUGAUUACAAGCUUCAAAAGAAAAGAUGCACAAUUUGAACCCAUACGUAUCACAAGAAAACAAUGAUCAAUCAUCAACAUCAGGCUUACAAUGAAAGGCUUAAAAUAACUCACAAGGAGCGUACCACUGAUGCAUCUGGUAAUUGUAACUUUAUAUAUAUACUAGCUGCGCCCCGCGGU